UGAAUGGAAACUAAGAUAAUGGAAACUCAAAAACAGCAGCUGGAAAACAUGAAACACAAAAAAUAGAAAGAAAAACCGAGGUGUGAAAGAUAGAAAGAGACGUGUAGCGAAUUGGAAAAAAGGGAAACAAAGGAAAAAAAAAAGAAAUAAAGGUAGGUAGGUGGACAGUGUAGCCAGACAGAUAUAAAAAAAAAAUAUAACAGAAAAAAACAGUUACUAUAAAAUUAAGGAAAAGAGAAAUGAAUGGAAAUGAAUUAAAAAGUGACGUAACGAGAGAGACAGAAGGAGAAAGUGACCAUGAAAGUGAAGGUACAGGUGGGAAGGUGAGUAGGAUAUCCAGACAUAUAAAAAAGAGAGAGAAAAAAACUAGAAUCCACGUAAUACAAAAAAAAAAAAAAAAAAAAACCGAGGUG